CUACACCCACAAUAACAUCUGCUAAAUAUGUGUAUGUGACCAAUCAAAUUUGAUUUGAUUUGAAAACCAUGUUGGAGAAGAUUGAGAGAUUUCUCUCUGCAUCUCUCUCUCGCUGCUUUGGGGGCUGAUAGUCUACAGUACAUGUAUCAAGUGUGGAUCUGGCUCUAGACUCUAAAAUGCCUUUUCCAAUUCUCUUUUCUCUUUCCUUGGCUCCUGUCUUUCUCAUCUCACCUCCCACUCAUAGACCACUGGUGUGCAGCAUAAUUCAUCAUCAGGACAAAAGGCCUCUGAAAAUAUAAUUAGAUGCUGUCAAUCUUUCUCAUACCCAUUCAUUUAGGGUUGAAGCCUGCUCAUUUCCUCUAAUGCAUAGUGAUGGUGUGUAAUAAGGGGGAAAAAAUGAUUCAUCAUUUACUGCAUGAGGUUGCAGGAAGUAGGGGUGCUGCGGGUGCAGAAACAUUCAAAUAAACAUUUCAAUUAUUUUUUUUAGAAGAAAAAAAAACAAGCGAUGCACUGGGCCUUUAUUAGUCUUGAAUUAGCGGACAAAAAAUGAUCAACUAUUUGCUCUAGAGUUAUACUGACGCUGCAUACCCUGUUCUGUAUGUCCUGAACAGACCUUGAGCUUUUCAGGUUGGCUACUUCUCUCUUGUGUUUCUAACAGAACACACCAGACACAAACAGAACAUUUUUCUAGAAGGUUCUGGUAACUUUUGUUUGUCAGUUCUAACAAUUAGGCUAACCCAAUAAACAACUCAAGGUGUCAUGAAAAAAUCAACGGCCUCCUACCCAAAUUGAACACCCUCCCCCCCUCAUAGAAUUAACCAGAAAUAAUGUUUACAACCACAACUAAUAAUAACUGUAGCAACCCUUUGUUUAUAAGUGUGGAUAUCUACUUUGCCUCUUCAGGAUGCUUUUGUGGCACAGCCGAUGCCACGCAGGGCUACGGGCCAGAAGGUUGAGGGUUCGCCGACCACCACGGACGAACACAGGGCCAGAAGGUUGAGGGUUCGCCGACCACCACGGACGAACACAGGGCCAGAAGGUUGAGGGUUCGCCGACCACCACUGAAGAGCUCACUCUCACUGCAUGUUUAUUACACUACGAUCAGAGCCAGUUGCAGACAAUGAUCAGCUAGGGGGAAAUCAGAUGUUCAACAUUUUGAUGCCAUAUUUAUAGUUGUGUAAAAUAUAUGGAACAAAUUUUCUGAGCCAAUGCACCACAAAACCAAUAAACAAAGCAUGUUAACUUUGGGCCCGAAGGUUGAGGGUUCGCCGACCACCACGGACUAACACAUGAUAUUCAAUAUCAUGGUUUGUGUUUUCAACACCACAAUAAGUCGUCUGUCAAUCUGGACUAACAGAAAAUACAUCACUCCCUACCUUGUAGGCUUACCCAGUAUAGAAGGCUUGGCUUGACAAUCUCUGAAUGUCAUUAAACGUUUUGGUGUUUUGUUACAGAUGUCUCUUUCCAUUAAUCAAUUGGCCGCUGCACGGUUUGGAUUGAUUGAUUUUUAUUUUAUUUGUCAGUUUAAAAAAAAUACAUUUUUUUUAAGUGACUGGGAUUGCACAAUAAAGUCUGGGACUUAUUUC